GUGUCUCUAUCAGAGUUUGAUCCUGGCUCAGGGAUGAACGCUAGCUACAGGCGUAACACAUGCAAGUCGAGGGGUAACAUGGGGAGUAGCUUGCUACUUCUGAUGACGACCGGCGGAUGGGUGAGUAACGCGUAUGCAACUUGCCUCUUAGUGGGGAAUAACCCGGAGAAAUCCGGACUAAUACCGCAUACACUUAGUUAUCCGCAUGGAUGAUUAAGGAAAGAUUUAUUGCUAAGAGAUAGGCAUGCGUUCCAUUAGUUAGUUGGUGAGGUAACGGCUCACCAAGGCAUCGAUGGAUAGGGGAGCUGAGAGGCUUAUCCCCCACAUUAGGACUGAGACACGGCCCAA
rnacentral:rRNA from 1 species